CUGUUCUUGACAUUCUCUGGCCCUAAUCAGUAAGACUUUGAUCUUCCCAGCACCUCUACAUGAUUCUCAGCUCCACUUUUACGAGGGGCAUGGAGCACAGGAAAAGGAGCCCAAAGCCAAGAUGUUAUUUGCCUCGUCAAAGAGCAUGCAAAGCAAACCUGACCUUGACUCCAUGAAUGCCCAAGCCAGAGGAAGGUCAAGAAAGGAAGUUUAUUGGACAUCUACCACCUGCGGAGUUCCUGCCCACCAAAUCAGCGAUUCACCUGUAAGUGGUCACAACAGGAUCUGAAGGGUCUGACGCCAGAGGCUGAGCGGGCAGCCACUUGCUCCUGCAGCUGUGGGUGGAGAGAGGGAAAAAGAGAAGAGAGAUGUACGAGAGGAUCAUUGAUCAGCUGCCUCUCGCACACUCUCCGACUGGACACCGGCCCCACAACCCAGGCAUGUGCCCUGACCAGGAGUCAAACCAGAGACCUUUGGGGGACAAUGCCCGACAAACUGAGCUACACCAGUCAGGGCUUACCCAUUCUUAUGUGCACCAUUCCCUGGCACCGGUCCACUCACACUGUCGUCCCUCGCCUCCCCCCCACCCCCUGCCCCCAUCUGUCUCCAGAACUUUCUCACUUUCCCAAACUGACACUCUGCCCCCAUUACAUACUAACUCCCAUCUCCUCUCCCUGCCCCUGGCCCCCACCAUCUACUUCUUGUCCCUAGGGAUCUGACACCUCUGGGGACCUCACAUGAGUGGAAUCAAACGGUAUUGCCCUUCUGUGACUGCCUUUCACUGAGCAUAACGUCCUCAAGGUUCAUCCACACCAUGUCAGCGAGUCCAUCCUUUUCAAGGCUGACUCCAUGACACUUCGUAAAAAGCCCCAAGCACUCACCGGGCCUGCAGCAGCUGCCCGUGCACUGCCCCAUGAAUCCCCUGCUGCAGCAGCCACAGUGGCCCCCUGACUGAUUUUCCAUCGCCAAGCUCAGUCCCACUCCAGGCCUUUACUGUCCUGGUUCCUCAUUCCUGGGAACCUGUCCCCAGAUUCUCAUUCAGGUCUCUGCUCAAAUACCAGCUCCUUGAAGAAUUGUCCUUGGUGACCUUUUUUUUUUUUUAAGAACUAGCCCCUAGACAAAACUAGAUGUCUGAUUCUGCGGGGUCUCUGAGCCAUUUUUCAAUUGUAUAACUUAUAGAAAAAUGGUAACAAUGACCGUCAUUCUUGCCCACAGAAAUAUGAAUGAAAUGUGCACAGUCACGUUCUGCUUCUGUUUGUAAAUUCAUUCCAGCAUUUCUCAUUUGCCUAUAUAUGUUCUUAGAAUUUUCAUUUGAACCUUUUGUAGCAUCUUACUUGUCCCCUCAUUAAUAAACAAAU